GUAGGUGGCAAGCGUUGUCCGGAAUUAUUGGGCGUAAAGCGCGCGCAGGCGGUUCUUUAAGUCUGAUGUGAAAGCCCACGGCUCAACCGUGGAGGGUCAUUGGAAACUGGAGAACUUGAGUACAGAAGAGGAAAGCGGAAUUCCACGUGUAGCGGUGAAAUGCGUAGAGAUGUGGAGGAACACCAGUGGCGAAGGCGGCUUUCUGGUCUGUAACUGACGCUGAGGCGCGAAAGCGUGGGGAGCAAACAGGAUUAGAUACCCUGGUAGUCCACGCCGUAAACGAUGAGUGCUAAGUGUUAGGGGGUUUCCGCCCCCCUUAGCGCUGCAGCUAACGCAUUAAGCACUCCGCCCUGGGAGUACGGCCGCAAGGCUG
rnacentral:rRNA from 1 species